CAGCAGCCGCGGGAAUACGUAGGGUGCGAGCGUUAAUCGGAAUUACUGGGCGUAAAGCGUGCGCAGGCGGUUAUGUAAGACAGGUGUGAAAUCCCCGGGCUUAACCUGGGAACUGCGCUUGUGACUGCACAGCUAGAGUAUGGCAGAGGGGGGUGGAAUUCCACGUGUAGCAGUGAAAUGCGUAGAGAUGUGGAGGAACACCGAUGGCGAAGGCAGCCCCCUGGGCCAAUACUGACGCUCAUGCACGAAAGCGUGGGGAGCAAACAGGAUUAGAUACCCGCGUAGUCCCUGUCUCUUAUAC
rnacentral:rRNA from 1 species